rnacentral:tRNA from 1 species
CCUCCGGUAGGUUAGUGCUUAGAGUUCUAGUCUGGUAGACCGGAGGUGGUGGGUUCGAUUCCCACCCGAGGCA